rnacentral:rRNA from 1 species
GACGAACGCUGGCGGCGUGCUUAACACAUGCAAGUCGAACGGACAGGCCCGGCUUUUGUGGGGUGCUCGAGUGGCGAACGGGUGAGUAACACGCGAGUAACCUCCCCUUGACUGUGGGAUAACUUCAGGAAACUGGGGCGAAUACCGGAUAGGAGCUCCUGCUGCAUGGUGGGGGAUGGAAAGUGUCGGCGGUGGGGGCUGGACUCGCGGCUUAUCAGCUUGUUGGGGGGGUAGUGGCUUACCAGGGCUUUGACGGGUAGCCGGCCUGAGAGGGUGACCGGCCACAUUGGGACUGAGAUACGGCCCAGACUCCUACGGGCGGCAGCAGUGGGGAAUCUUGCACAAUGGGCGGAAGCCUGAUGCAGCAACGCCGCGUGCGGGAUGACGGCCUUCGGGUUGUAAACCGCUUUCGCCUGUGACGAAGCGUGAGUGACGGUAAUGGGUAAAGAAGCACCGGCUAACUACGUG